UACGGGGGGGUAAGCGUUGUUCGGAAUUACUGGGCGUAAAGGGCUCGUAGGCGGCCAACUAAGUCAGACGUGAAAUCCCUCAGCUUAACUGGGGAACUGCGUCUGAUACUGGUGAUCUUGAGUCCGGGAGAGGUGAGUGGAACUGCGAGUGUAGAGGUGAAAUUCGUAGAUAUUCGCAAGAACACCAGUGGCGAAGGCGGCUCACUGGCCCGAUACUGACGCUGAGGCACGAAAGCGUGGGGAGCAAACAGG
rnacentral:rRNA from 1 species